AGUGAACGCUGGCGGUAGGCCUAACACAUGCAAGUCGAACGGCAGGACAGUAAGAGCUUGCUCUUACGGGUGGCGAGUGGCGGACGGGUGAGGAAUACAUCGGAAUCUACUUUUUCGUGGGGGAUAACGUAGGGAAACUUACGCUAAUACCGCAUACGACCUACGGGUGAAAGCAGGGGAUCUUCGUACCUUGCGCGAUUGAAUGAGCCGAUGUCGGAUUAGCUAGUUGGCGGGGUAAAGGCCCACCAAGGCGACGAUCCGUAGCUGGUCUGAGAGGAUGAUCAGCCACACUGGAACUGGGACACGGUCCAGACUCCUACGGGAGGCAGAAGUGGGGAAUAUUGGACAAUGGGCGCAAGCCUGAUCCAGCCAUACCGCGUGGGUGAAGAAGGCCUUCGGGUUGUAAAGCCCUUUUGUUGGGAAAGAAAAGCAGCAGGUUAAUACCCCGCUGUUCUGACGGUACCCAAAGAAUAAGCACCGGCUAACUUCGUG
rnacentral:rRNA from 1 species